rnacentral:rRNA from 1 species
UACGUAGGUGGCUAGCGUUACUCGGAAUCACUGGGCAUAAAGGGCGUGUAGGCGGACGCGUAAGUCCGGUGUGAAAUCCCCCGGCUCAACCGGGGAAGGCCAUUGGAUACUGCGUGUCUCGAGUGCGGGAGGGGCGAGUGGAACUCUUGGUGGAGCGGUGAAAUGCGUAGAUAUCAAGAGGAACGCCGGUGGCGAAAGCGGCUCUCUGGCCCGUUACUGACGCCGAGGCGCGAAAGCUAGGGGAGCAAACGGGAUUAGAUACCCCGGUAGUCCUAGCCCUAAACGAUGGAUACUAGGUAGGGGUGGCUCCGAUGCCGUCUCUGCCGUAGUUAAUAUGGUAAGUAUCCCGCCUGGGGAGUACGGUCGCAAGGCUGAA